GUUGAACGCUGGCGGCGUGCCUAAUACAUGCAAGUCGAGCGAAUGGAUUAAGAGCUUGCUCUUAUGAAGUUAGCGGCGGACGGGUGAGUAACACGUGGGUAACCUGCCCAUAAGACUGGGAUAACUCCGGGAAACCGGGGCUAAUACCGGAUAACAUUUUGAACCGCAUGGUUCGAAAUUGAAAGGCGGCUUCGGCUGUCACUUAUGGAUGGACCCGCGUCGCAUUAGCUAGUUGGUGAGGUAACGACUCACCAAGGCAACGAUGCGUAGCCGACCUGAGAGGGUGAUCGGCCACACUGGGACUGAGACACGGCCCAGACUCCUACGGGAGGCAGCAGUAGGGAAUCUUCCGCAAUGGACGAAAGUCUGACGGAGCAACGCCGCGUGAGUGAUGAAGGCUUUCGGGUCGUAAAACUCUGUUGUUAGGGAAGAACAAGUGCUAGUUGAAUAAGCUGGCACCUUGACGGUACCUAACCAGAAAGCCACGGCUAACUACGUGCCAGCAGCCGCCGUAA
rnacentral:rRNA from 1 species